rnacentral:rRNA from 1 species
GUGGGGAAUAUUGGACAAUGGGCGCAAGCCUGAUCCAGCCAUGCCGCGUGAGUGAUGAAGGCCUUAGGGUUGUAAAGCUCUUUCAGUGGGGACGAUAAUGACGGUACCCACAGAAGAAGCCCCGGCUAACUUCGUGCCAGCAGCCGCGGUAAUACGAAGGGGGCUAGCGUUGUUCGGAUUUACUGGGCGUAAAGCGCACGUAGGCGGAUCGUUAAGUCGGGGGUGAAAUCCUGGAGCUCAACUCCAGAACUGCCUUCGAUACUGGCGAUCUUGAGUCCGGAGGAGGUGAGUGGAACUCCUAGUGUAGAGGUGGAAUUCGUAGAUAUUAGGAAGAACACCAGUGGCGAAGGCGGCUCACUGGUCCGGUACUGACGCUGAGGUGCGAAAGCGUGGGGAGCAAACAGGAUUAGAUACCCGAGUAGUCC